rnacentral:rRNA from 1 species
AGAGUUUGAUCCUGGCUCAGAACGAACGCUGGUGGCGUGUUUUAUACAUGCAAGUCGAGCGAGGACAGUAGCUUGCUACUGAGCCGUGCGGCGAACGGGUGAGUAACGCGUAAGCAAUCUGCCCCACAAUCGGGAACAACCGUGCCAACGCGCGGCUAAUGCCGGAUAUUGUGUCCUACUGCAUAGUAGGUUAACGAAAGAUUUAUCGUUGUGGGAUGAGCUUGCGUCCGAUUAGCUAGUUGGCGGGGUAAUAGCCCACCAAGGCGACGAUCGGUAGCCGGCCUGAGAGGGUGAUCGGCCACAUUGGGACUGAGAUACGGCCCAGACUCCUACGGGAGGCAGCAGUAGGGAAUAUUGCGCAAUGGGGGGAACCCUGACGCAGCAACGCCACGUGUGGGAAGAAGCAUUUCGGUGUGUAAACCACUGUCGGAAAGGAAUAACGGAAGACUUCGGUCUUUAUGAAUGUACUUUUAGAGGAAGCACCGGCAAACUUCGUGCCAGCAGCCGCGGUAAUACGAGGGGUGCAAGCGUUGUUCGGAAUCACUGGGCGUAAAGGGAGCGUAGGCGGAAGUGCAAGCAAUCUGUAUAAUCCUGGGGCCCAACCCCAGUUCUGCAGAUCGGACUGUACUUCUUGAAUAGUUCAGAGGCAAGCGGAAUUUCUGGUGUAGCGGUGGAAUGCGUAGAGAUCAGAAAGAACACCAAUGGCGAAGGCAGCUUGCUGGGGACUUAUUGACGCUGAGGCUCGAAAGUGUGGGUAGCAAACAGGAUUAGAUACCCUGGUAGUCCACACUGUAAACGAUGCAUACUGGGUGUCCGAAAUUCGUUUCCGGUACCGUAGCUAACGCGUUAAGUAUGCCGCCUGGGGAGUACGUACGCAAGUAUGAAACUCAAAGGAAUUGACGGGGGCCCGCACAAGCGGUGGAGCAUGUGGUUUAAUUCGAAGCAACGCGCAGAACCUUACCAGGGUUUGACAUGGAAUCGCCGCAGCGAGAGAUCGCUGUUUAGUAGCAAUACUACGGUUCACACAGGUGCUGCAUGGCUGUCGUCAGCUCGUGUCGUGAGAUGUUGGGUUAAGUCCCGCAACGAGCGCAACCCUUAUUGUUAGUUGCCAUCAUUAAGUUGGGCACUCUAGCGAGACUGCCCGGGUUAACCGGGAGGAAGGUGGGGAUGACGUCAAAUCAUCAUGCCCCUUAUGUCUAGGGCUACACACGUGCCACAAUGGUCGGUACAAUAAGACGCAAGCCCGCGAGGGGGAGCAAAACUGGAAAACCGAUCUCAGUUCGGAUUGUAGGCUGAAACUCGCCUACAUGAAGCUGGAGUUGCUAGUAAUCGCGAAUCAGCAUGUCGCGGUGAAUACGUUCCCGGGCCUUGCACUCACCGCCCGUCAAG